CGAGAAAAUCGGCCUGUUGAUUCUUGCUUCGGCGAGGGUAGGAAAGUCCGGACACCAUAGAGCAGCAAAGCGGAUAACAUCCGUCACCCGCGAGGGUAGGACAAGUGCAACAGAAAGUAUGUACAGUUCGGCUGUAGUGAAACCAGGUAAACUCUUUGCGGUGCAAUGAUAAGUAUAUCGGUUCUUUUCAGCAAUGAAAAUAGGAGUUGCUCGCUCUGAAAGCCGAGGGGUAAUCAGCUCAAGUUUUGCAGCAAUGUAAGACGCAGAUAAAUAACAGGCACUUUUUUAAAGUACAAAAUCCGGCUUACAGAUUUUCUCGUGGU
rnacentral:RNase_P_RNA from 1 species